GGGUUGUGAGGUUAAGCGACUAAGCGUACACGGUGGAUGCCCUGGCAGUCAGAGGCGAUGAAGGACGUGCUAAUCUGCGAAAAGCGUCGGUAAGGUGAUAUGAACCGUUACAGCCGGCGAUGUCCGAAUGGGGAAACCCAGUGUGAUUCGUCACACUAUCGUUAACUGAAUACAUAGGUUAACGAGGCGAACCGGGGGAACUGAAACAUCUAAGUACCCCGAGGAAAAGAAAUCAACCGAGAUUCCCCCAGUAGCGGCGAGCGAACGGGGAGCAGCCCAGAGUCUGAAUCAGCUUGUGUGUUAGUGGAACGGUCUGGAAAGUCCGACGGUACAGGGUGAUAGUCCCGUACACCAAAAUGCACAGGUUGUGAACUCGAAGAGUAGGGCGGGACACGUGGUAUCCUGUCUGAAUAUGGGGGGACCAUCCUCCAAGGCUAAAUACUCCUGACUGACCGAUAGUGAACCAGUACCGUGAGGGAAAGGCGAAAAGAACCCCGGCGAGGGGAGUGAAAAAGAACCUGAAACCGUGUACGUACAAGCAGUGGGAGCACCUUCGGGUGUGACUGCGUACCUUUUGUAUAAUGGGUCAGCGACUUAUAUUCUGUAGCAAGGUUAACCGUAUAGGGGAGCCGCAGGGAAACCGAGUCUUAACUGGGCGUUAAGUUGCAGGGUAUAGACCCGAAACCCGGUGAUCUAGCCAUGGGCAGGUUGAAGGUUGGGUAACACUAACUGGAGGACCGAACCGACUAAUGUUGAAAAAUUAGCGGAUGACUUGUGGCUGGGGGUGAAAGGCCAAUCAAACCGGGAGAUAGCUGGUUCUCCCCGAAAGCUAUUUAGGUAGCGCCUCGUGAACUCAUCUUCGGGGGUAGAGCACUGUUUCGGCUAGGGGGUCAUCCCGACUUACCAACCCGAUGCAAACUACGAAUACCGAAGAAUGUUAUCACGGGAGACACACGGCGGGUGCUAACGUCCGUCGUGAAGAGGGAAACAACCCAGACCGCCAGCUAAGGUCCCAAAGUCAUGGUUAAGUGGGAAACGAUGUGGGAAGGCACAGACAGCCAGGAUGUUGGCUUAGAAGCAGCCAUCAUUUAAAGAAAGCGUAAUAGCUCACUGGUCGAGUCGGCCUGCGCGGAAGAUGUAACGGGGCUAAACCAUGCACCGAAGCUGCGGCAGCGACACUAUGUGUUGUUGGGUAGGGGAGCGUUCUGUAAGCCUGCGAAGGUGACCUGUGAGGGUUGCUGGAGGUAUCAGAAGUGCGAAUGCUGACAUAAGUAACGAUAAAGCGGGUGAAAAGCCCGCUCGCCGGAAGACCAAGGGUUCCUGUCCAACGUUAAUCGGGGCAGGGUGAGUCGACCCCUAAGGCGAGGCCGAAAGGCGUAGUCGAUGGGAAACAGGUUAAUAUUCCUGUACUUGGUGUUACUGCGAAGGGGGGACGGAGAAGGCUAUGUUAGCCGGGCGACGGUUGUCCCGGUUUAAGCAUGUAGGCUGGUUGUCCAGGCAAAUCCGGAUAAUCAAGGCUGAGGUGUGAUGACGAGGCACUACGGUGCUGAAGUAACAAAUGCCCUGCUUCCAGGAAAAGCCUCUAAGCAUCAGGUAACAUCAAAUCGUACCCCAAACCGACACAGGUGGUCAGGUAGAGAAUACCAAGGCGCUUGAGAGAACUCGGGUGAAGGAACUAGGCAAAAUGGUGCCGUAACUUCGGGAGAAGGCACGCUGGUGUGUAGGUGAAGUCCCUGCGGAUGGAGCUGAGACCAGUCGAAGAUACCAGCUGGCUGCAACUGUUUAUUAAAAACACAGCACUGUGCAAACACGAAAGUGGACGUAUACGGUGUGACGCCUGCCCGGUGCCGGAAGGUUAAUUGAUGGGGUUAUCCGUAAGGAGAAGCUCUUGAUCGAAGCCCCGGUAAACGGCGGCCGUAACUAUAACGGUCCUAAGGUAGCGAAAUUCCUUGUCGGGUAAGUUCCGACCUGCACGAAUGGCGUAAUGAUGGCCAGGCUGUCUCCACCCGAGACUCAGUGAAAUUGAACUCGCUGUGAAGAUGCAGUGUACCCGCGGCAAGACGGAAAGACCCCGUGAACCUUUACUAUAGCUUGACACUGAACAUUGAGCCUUGAUGUGUAGGAUAGGUGGGAGGCUUUGAAGCGUGGACGCCAGUCUGCGUGGAGCCAACCUUGAAAUACCACCCUUUAAUGUUUGAUGUUCUAACGUUGGCCCCUUACCGGGGUUGCGGACAGUGUCUGGUGGGUAGUUUGACUGGGGCGGUCUCCUCCCAAAGCGUAACGGAGGAGCACGAAGGUUAGCUAAUCCUGGUCGGACAUCAGGAGGUUAGUGCAAUGGCAUAAGCUAGCUUGACUGCGAGCGUGACGGCGCGAGCAGGUGCGAAAGCAGGUCAUAGUGAUCCGGUGGUUCUGAAUGGAAGGGCCAUCGCUCAACGGAUAAAAGGUACUCCGGGGAUAACAGGCUGAUACCGCCCAAGAGUUCAUAUCGACGGCGGUGUUUGGCACCUCGAUGUCGGCUCAUCACAUCCUGGGGCUGAAGUAGGUCCCAAGGGUAUGGCUGUUCGCCAUUUAAAGUGGUACGCGAGCUGGGUUUAGAACGUCGUGAGACAGUUCGGUCCCUAUCUGCCGUGGGCGCUGGAGAAUUGAGGGGGGCUGCUCCUAGUACGAGAGGACCGGAGUGGACGCAUCACUGGUGUUCGGGUUGUCAUGCCAAUGGCACUGCCCGGUAGCUAAAUGCGGAAGAGAUAAGUGCUGAAAGCAUCUAAGCACGAAACUUGCCCCGAGAUGAGUUCUCCCUGAGACUUUAAGUCUCCUGAAGGAACGUUAAAGACGAUGACGUUGAUAGGCCGGGUGUGUAAGCGCAGCGAUGCGUUGAGCUAACCGGUACUAAUGAACCGUGAGGCUUAACCUUACAACGCCGAAG
rnacentral:rRNA from 1 species